GGAUUGCUCAUUGGUAGAGUUACAAGAUAGAAGGAGUUUCUAUCUAAAAGAGAAUGACCCAAGAAACCGACAUUGGCAGCAUCACAGCAUAGUGUGAGCAAGAAACGGGGAGCUGCAAACACGGGCUCUGCCCAGCGUCCAGACCAGGACAGUCACCCAGGCUGUAGGGCCUCAGCUCCGGCAGCUCCUGCUCUAGCCCUGUAUCUUAAGGCAGUGUGAGCCUCAGCACUCUGGCGUCUCCAUUUCCCCAUCACCAGCCCUUUUUUCCCCCUCAGAAAUGAUCAUCUGUCUUUCAUUGCUGUGCAGAUGAUACCCAAAUGUUACCUUCGUCCAUCAAACUGUCAGCCUAAUUGUUUA
rnacentral:lncRNA from 1 species